rnacentral:rRNA from 1 species
UAGGGAAUAUUGGGCAAUGGGCGAGAGCCUGACCCAGCCAUGCCGCGUGCAGGAUGAAGGCUUUCUGAGUCGUAAACUGCUUUUGCCAGGGAAGAAAAAAGCGGAUGCGUCCGCUACUGACGGUACCUGGUGAAUAAGCACCGGCUAACUCCGUGCCAGCAGCCGCGGUAAUACGGAGGGUGCAAGCGUUGUCCGGAUUUAUUGGGUUUAAAGGGUGCGUAGGCGGCCGAUUAAGUCUGGGGUGAAAGCCCGUUGCUCAACAACGGAACUGCCCUGGAAACUGGUCGGCUUGAGUACAGACGAGGGUGGCGGAAUGGAUGCUGUAGCGGUGAAAUGCAUAGAUAGCAUCCAGAACCCCGAUUGCGAAGGCAGCUGCCUAGACUGUAACUGACGCUGAGGCACGAAAGCGUGGGGAGCGAACAG